rnacentral:rRNA from 1 species
AUUGAACGCUGGCGGCAGGCUUAACACAUGCAAGUCGAGCGGAGAUGAGGUGCUUGCACCUUAUCUUAGCGGCGGACGGGUGAGAAUGCUUAGGAAUCUGCCUAUUAGUGGGGGACAACAUUCCGAAAGGAAUGCUAAUACCGCAUACGCCCUACGGGGGAAAGCAGGGGAUCUUCGGACCUUGCGCUAAUAGAUGAGCCUAAGUCGGAUUAGCUAGGUGGUGGGGUAAAGGCCUACCAAGGCGACGAUCUGUAGCGGGUCUGAGAGGAUGAUCCGCCACACUGGGACGGAGACACGGCCCAGACUCCUACGGGAGGUAGCAGUGGGGAAUAUUGGACAAUGGGCGGAAGCCUGAUCCAGCCAUGCCGCGUGUGUGAAGAAGGCCUUUUGGUUGUAAAGCACUUUAAGCGAGGAGGAGGCUACCUGGAUUAAUACUCUAGGAUAGUGGACGUUACUCGCAGAAUGAGCACCGGCUAACUCUGUGCCAGCCGCCGCCGUAACAC